rnacentral:rRNA from 1 species
UGACGGAGCAACGCCGCGUGAGUGAAGACGGCCUUCGGGUUGUAAAGCUCUGUUAUAGGGGACGAACGGCCGGGUAGCGAAGAGGUAGCCGGCAUGACGGUACCGUAAGAGAAAGCCACGGCUAACUACGUGCCAGCAGCCGCGGUAAUACGUAGGUGGCAAGCGUUGUCCGGAAUGAUUGGGCGUAAAGGGCGCGCAGGCGGCUGUGUAAGUCUGUCUAGAAAGUGCGGGGCUAAACCCCGUGAGAGGAUGGAAACUGGACAGCUGAGAGUGUCGGAGAGGAAAGCGGAAUUCCUAGUGUAGCGGUGAAAUGCGUAGAUAUUAGGAGGAACACCGGUGGCGAAAGCGGCUUUCUGGACGACAACUGACGCUGAGGCGCGAAAGCCAGGGAGCAAACGGGAUUAGAUACCCCGGUAGUCCUGGCCGUAAACGAUGGGUACUAGGUGUAGGAGGUAUCGACCCCUCCUGUGCCGGAGUAAACGCAAUAAGUACCCGCCUGGGGAGUACGGGCGCAAGGCUGAACUCAAAGGAAUUGACGGGGGCCGCAC